rnacentral:rRNA from 1 species
UACGUAGGGGGCAAGCGUUGCCCGGAAUCAUUGGGCGUAAAGAGCGUGUAGGCGGCCAGGUAGGUCUGCUGUGAAAACUCGAGGCUUAACCUCGAGAUGUCGGCGGAAACCAUCUGGCUAGAGUCCGGAAGAGGAGAAUGGAAUUCCCGGUGUAGCGGUGAAAUGCGCAGAUAUCGGGAAGAACACCCGUGGCGAAGGCGGUCUCUGGGA